rnacentral:rRNA from 1 species
GGGGAAUUUUGGACAAUGGGCGAAAGCCUGAUCCAGCAAUGCCGCGUGCAGGAUGAAGGCCUUCGGGUUGUAAACUGCUUUUGUACGGAACGAAAAAGCUCCUUCUAAUACAGGGGGCCCAUGACGGUACCGUAAGAAUAAGCACCGGCUAACUACGUGCCAGCAGCCGCGGUAAUACGUAGGGUGCGAGCGUUAAUCGGAAUUACUGGGCGUAAAGCGUGCGCAGGCGGUUAUGUAAGACAGAUGUGAAAUCCCCGGGCUCAACCUGGGAACUGCAUUUGUGACUGCAUGGCUAGAGUACGGUAGAGGGGGAUGGAAUUCCGCGUGUAGCAGUGAAAUGCGUAGAUAUGCGGAGGAACACCAGUGGCGAAGGCGGCUCACUGGCUCGUAACUGACGCUGAGGUGCGAAAGCGUGGGGAGCAAACA